GGAUGGGGCUCACCCACAUCAUUGAGGGUCAUCUCAGUUACAGUGAACUGAUUACAGAUGUUAAUCACAUCUGGACAAGACCUUCAGAGCAACAUGUAAACUGGUGUUGGACCGAACUACCAUACACCAAAGGCCAGACAAAGAAGAACCUUACAUGUGGAUGCAUACAAUAUGGCAGUGAGAAGGUCCAAUACGCCCAGGAAAAAGGCAGGCUCCAGAGAACAGGCAGAGAGACCUAGUUUGCAACUUCUGUCUGCCACUCACCAGCUCUUGCAGCAUGGCUCUUAUGCCAUAGACUGUGCAUGGUGAAAUCUGCCUUGGAAUGGCUGCUCUGAGCACUGUGCCUGGUGCCCAGGUCCCCAGGCAGCCGAAAACACAGUGCUUUUGAUUUCCCUGCACAAAUCUGCCUCGUGUGCUCAAUUUUUGGGUCCCAUUCUACAGGCCCAAUGCAACCAGCAUCUUUCUUCUUCCUAGAGAUGAUGGAAGUGGCUGUAAACCAAGUCUGAUCUUUCUGCCACCUUUUGUCAUUUCUUUCCCCAGCUUAAAAUGGUGAAAACACAGGGUCUGGGAGACAGGAAACACAUUUUAUCUUAGGCCAUUGGAUCCUUCAUGAGGAGACUGGAAUCAGCAGGCAGGUUUAGAGAAUCUACUCAGUGCUUUUCACAAGUCCAUAUUUUCAUUGAUGUUAAGGUCACUUAGCCUGCCUGUGCCUCAGUUUUAGAAGCAGAUAUAAUGAUAAUAAUAUCUGAUUUUCAAGCAUGUUCUGAGGAAGAUAGAGAUUGAAUAUUCCUUGGUUUAAAAGAAAAACCAAGUUAGUUCUGAAAAACUCUUUAUCAAGCAAAGAUUUUUUUAAUUAGUUAAAAUUAGUGGCAUGGCAUUACUUCAAUAAUUAACAAAUAAUAGUGUAAUAUCUAUGUUUAAACUUGAAAAUUUCAUGUAAAUCCCUGCCCAUUUCAACCCCCGUAAAACAAAAUGACAAUAAAAGAUAAAGGCAAAAGAAAGCAAUCAAAAUUAUUUCUUCUCAAAAGUGAAAGACUGCUAAUUCUAUAAACUAACAAACCGCCAGGACCUUGCCAGAAUAACAAAAUGCAGUGUGGUUUUGUUAAUGAAGAGAAAUGUCGUUUCUCUCUGUGUGUGUGGUUUUUUGGUUUGUUUUGUUUUGUUUUGUUUUUGUUUCUGUUUUUGAGAGAGUCUUGCUGUGUUGCCCAGGCUGGAGUGCAGUGGUGUGAUCUUGGCUCACUGCAAACUCUACCUCCCAGGUUCAAGCAAUUCUCUUGCUUCAGCCCCCUGAGUAGCUGAGAUUACAGGCAUGCACCACCACGCCUGGCUAAUUUUUCGUAUUUUUAGUAGAGACGGGUUUCACCAGGUUGGUCAGGCUGGUCUCAAACUCCUGACCUCAGGUGCCUCAGCCUCCCAAAGUGCUGGGAUUACGGGUGUGAGCCGCUGUACUCGGUCCAAGAAAUGUCUUUUGAGUGGAAAUGACUUGUGAGGUCAAAUUCUCAUUAUCUGAAUGGGCAUUUCUUGGGGGUGCUGUAUUUUCUAUAGAAAAAAAGUUUUAAGCUCUACCAAAAAUUUGGGGAUGACUUUUAUAAAAAUAUGACUUAUGAUACACUUGUCUUGUUUCAUCAUUGCUACACCAAGACAAAAGACAAGUAUCAGGAGUGCAAGGAACCCCAAGGAGCCAUGAGAAAAUAUAGGUGCUCCCCUUUCCACCUCAAUCUGAGAGACAUGCAAGUAUUCCUGGCCCUUUUCAACAACAGCAAUUCCAGGCAAGUUAUAUUGUGAUUUUUUUUAACGGAAGUGUCUAAUUUCUCAAUGCUAUCUUUAUUGAAAGUCCCCUCCCAAGCACUUUAGAAGCAUUGCCGCCACUGGCUCAUGCAGCCUUUGCUUCUGUGGAAACGGCCCCUUUAAAAUAUAUACGAGGAACAUGUUUGAAAAAGGGUGGCAUUGGGCGGAUUUGAAAAACACCUUUUGUUUCUUUUCUUUCCUAAGCCUGUGCUUGGUUUGCAAAAGGAGGGCUUCCAUAUGAAAGAACCGUUUUGAGAGCCAGGGUUCAUGAUCAAAGUGCAGAGCUCUCCCUGCUGGGGAGGACAGGCAGCUGCAGCCCUCGCGUGUGGACCAGAGCCGGGGAACUGAAUCAACAUUAUUUCCCACUAAAAACACUUGUAUGGGAUUGGUAAUAAUAGUAACCAAAAAGUCAACGUGGGGAGCCAGGCAUAGCAUGCUUGUUUGUUUUAGUUUUAAGAUUUCGGUCUCCCUGACUCCUUUCUCUCUGCUCACUCAGGCAUAUUGUGGAAUUUAAAUGAAAAGAAUUGUCAGGUGAAAGACAAAAUAAAGCUCAAUUUGUGAACAACAACAGCAAAAAACCUUCACAAUUGCAUCACUUUUUUCUUAAGUGCGUUAAAAAAUAGGUACAUAGAGCCCAAGAAAGCCAGAAAAAAAAGCAAAGUAAGCUUACAGUAAGCUUAUAGUUCCUAGAAUUAUAUUGUUACUUUAGUUUCUCCAAUGCCAGUGCUUCUAUUUAGAAAUUAACAUGCUGCACUUCAAAACUGCAUCAAAAUCCAGGAAACUUCCUUUCUCAUCACCAAGCAAGUUUUACAAACA
ensembl:lncRNA